rnacentral:lncRNA from 10 species
CCCUUCCACACUGUGGAAGGUUUGUUCUUUUGCUCUUUGCAAUAACUCUUGCUGCUGCUCACCCUUUGGGUUCACACUGCCUUUAUCAGCUGUAACACUCACCGCGAAGGUCUGCAGCUUCACUCCUGAGCCAGCAAAACCACGAACCCACCAGAAGGAAGAAACUCCGAACACAUCGGAACACCAGAAGGAACAAACUCCAGACGCACCACCCUAAGAGCUGUAACACUCACCGCGAGGAUCCGUGACUUCAUUCUUGAAGUCAGUGAGACCAAGAACCCACCAAUUCCAGACACAGUAUCCAUAACAAUAGUUCUUGCAAAUCAACAAAAUAAGUUAAUCAACUAGGAUUUUCUUUUGGAAUUUUGUGAUUCUACCCUUGUUGGUUUCUUUAAGCUCUUGAUCAGGUUCUUAGUGUCCACUAUCUUGACUUUUUCCAAUGGGCCACUAUUUAUUCUAACUUCUUAUUGACUACUGUGUAUUUGAAAUUACUGAAAGAAGAUAAAUGAUUUGAAAUUAUUCCCUAUUAACUCAACUAUUAAAAAAUUGUUUUUCUGGUGUUUCUGGUGACAAGAGCACAGACUUUGGGUUUAACAGGCCUUUGAAUAAUUAUUAAAUGACUACAACUAAUUGGUCCGAAGCCUAGUGUGCUUAAGAUAUCCAUCUAUUUGCCCUCUACAGCCUUCAAAGUGAUAGGAUUUGCUAUUGUUAUAGAACUGAAAGAGAAUUCAUUCUACUCUAACAGAAAGGCAUUGCCCAUUGAGGUGAAGUAAUCCCUGGUUCAAUUAAAAAUGAGUCAGACUUAUCUUUGCUUUCCUGGAAUUCUGUGCACAUUGUAAAAAUUCACACACUGCUAAGCAUGAUGCUUGGAUUAAUUCAGAUGUGGAAUAACAAUGAAACAAAACCACCUAAGCGAAAAAAGAGGAUUUAUCUCAAAUUUAGAUUUGUGGAACAAGGUGAUUGAUAUCACUGGACAAAAAUUCUAGAUCUAUGUAUAGAAGAUGUUGGAAUGUGUUUCUUUGUCUACUAUUGUGAUUAGUAUUGAUACAUUUUGAGUGAUGACAUUGUAUUUGGAAAAUCAUGAAAGGGACCUAUAUCACAAAACCCACAUGCUGAAAUUAAGAAAGCAACAAUGACAAUUUUUUUUGGUUUAUGUAAAAUUAUCUUUUAAAAAUGAUUAAUUAUAUACCUAUAUUGGAACGAACUAUAAGAUAUUUCAAUAAAUUUUCAAACUGG